rnacentral:pre_miRNA from 1 species
UCUUCUGUUAGAUUUGCCAGAUGUGCUCUCCUGGCCCGUGAAAUCAAGCGUGGGUGAGACCUGGUGCAGAAAGGGAAGGCGACCCAUACUUGGUUUCAGAGGCUGCGAGAAUACCUGCAAUUCAGAGGA